GACGAACGCUGGCGGCGUGCUUAACACAUGCAAGUCGAACGAUGAACCGGGUGCUUGCACUUGGGGAUUAGUGGCGAACGGGUGAGUAACACGUGAGUAACCUGCCCUGGACUCUGGGAUAACCCCGAGAAAUCGGAGCUAAUACCGGAUAGGACCUUUCCCCGCAUGGGGUUUGGUGGAAAGUUUUUCGGUCUGGGAUGGACUCGCGGCCUAUCAGCUUGUUGGUGAGGUAAUGGCUCACCAAGGCGUCGACGGGUAGCCGGCCUGAGAGGGUGACCGGCCACACUGGGACUGAGACACGGCCCAGACUCCUACGGGAGGCAGCAGUGGGGAAUAUUGCACAAUGGGCGCAAGCCUGAUGCAGCAACGCCGCGUGCGGGAUGACGGCCUUCGGGUUGUAAACCGCUUUUAGUAGGGAAGAAGGGCUUCGGCUUGACGGUACCUGCAGAAAAAGGACCGGCUAACUACGUGCCAGCCGCCGCCGUAAAAC
rnacentral:rRNA from 1 species